UACAGAGGGGGCAAGCGUUGUUCGGAAUUACUGGGCGUAAAGGGCGCGUAGGCGGCCUGUUAAGUCGAACGUGAAAUCCCCGGGCUCAACCCGGGAACUGCGUCCGAUACUGGCAGGCUUGAAUCCGGGAGAGGGAUGCGGAAUUCCAGGUGUAGCGGUGAAAUGCGUAGAUAUCGGGAGGAACACCAGUGGCGAAGGCGGCGAUCUGGACGGAUAUUGACGCUGAGGUGCGAAAGCGUGGGGAGCAAACAGG
rnacentral:rRNA from 1 species